AGGAUACGGACGGCUCACUCCAAAAGGCUAAUGGUGGCGACUCUGCAAAAAGGCACUCUUUGAAAAGCCCUGUACAUGUUAGGGAGGACAGAGCAAGAACAUGGGAGGAGCCAAAGUCCCUGCUGGCCCUGGGCGUCACCAGAGCAGCCCCGCACUAAGUGAUCUGAAACAUCUAACCACAUGAAGAAAACAAACCAUUGCAUGGAUGGGGCUCAACGAUGGGUCACCUUCUCGUCCCAAGCGGAGGCGCUCUGGGCUCUUCUCUGCUACUCCCUAGGCUGCAUCAAUUGCGCUUGCACCUGACUCUCGACCUGGAGACCAUCGUUCUCACUCAGAUGAGUAUUUUUUUCCUUGACUCAUGUACCAGUUCCCUGUUCUGGUAACUGGUGUACGCUCUACGUGGCCUAGAGUCCUGGCUUGCUCUUGCCAGCUGCCCCCACCAUGCCCUGGCCACAGCCCUAGCCAAGACCCAUGGCUGGAGCCCUGUGAUCUGUGACAGACCUCUCAGACACCAUCUGCUUCUUUCAUCCCAGGAGCCCUGCCUGCCCCGCCUCUCUGCUGCUGAGUCCUGCCCACAGGCCAGCACUCCCCAAAACUCCUUCCCAGACCUCUGCCAAUAAGCCCUUGGCUCAAUCCUCAGUUAAGAUUAAGGUAUCCCUUGGACACGGUAAUUUACACGCUUGGCUGAAAACACAGCACUGUCUGCCACCUCCCAGCACCAGCCCCUCUCUCUCCAGCUGACUCCUCAGUGGCCUGUGGCUCAGAAGGAAGAGUAGAAACAGUAGUAAUAUAAUGAAAAUGACAAAG